UACGUAGGGUGCAAGCGUUAAUCGGAAUUACUGGGCGUAAAGCGUGCGCAGGCGGCUUUGCAAGUCAGGUGUGAAAUCCCCGGGCCUAACCUGGGAACUGCAUUUGUGACUGCAUCGCUAGAGUCUGUCAGAGGGGGGUGGAAUUCCACGUGUAGCAGUGAAAUGCGUAGAGAUGUGGAAGAACACCGAUGGCGAAGGCAGCCCCCUGGGAUGAGACUGACGCUCAUGUGCGAAAGCGUGGGGAGCAAACAGG
rnacentral:rRNA from 1 species